GUGCCAGCAGCCGCGGUAAUACGGAGGGUGCAAGCGUUAUCCGGAUUUACUGGGUUUAAAGGGUGCGUAGGCGGGCCUUUAAGUCAGUGGUGAAAUCUCCGGGCCUAACCCGGAAACUGCCAUUGAUACUAUUGGUCUUGAAUUCAGUUGAGGUGGGCGGAAUGUGUCGUGUAGCGGUGAAAUGCUUAGAUAUGACACAGAACACCGAUUGCGAAGGCAGCUCGCUAAACUGACAUUGACGCUGAGGCACGAAAGCGUGGGGAUCAAACAGGAUUAGAUACCCUCGUAGUCC
rnacentral:rRNA from 1 species